UCUCGCCCUUGCCUUGUGGUUUGUUUCGAUUGCGUUGUUGCAAUCCCGUGGUCCUCCGCUGCUUUUAUUUGGGAAAAAUCGAGUCCCAUUCAUGGACAGAUCGUAAUCCUCGUCCGAUUCCCCUUCCGUGCUUGACUAGGUCUCUCCCUCAAUCUGUUUCUCUAUUGUGCUAUGCAUCCGAGUUGGAAACAUAUCCGACUCCUUCCAUGUCACAACCUCUCCAGAUCGAGUCCUGUGCAAUCCGACUUCCUGCUACUCAGGCUCUGGCCACGUUCCAUGGUCCCGGCUUCAACACCAACACGUGCACACCGCCAUCUCCGUGACCUCCUCAGCCUCCACGCACCCGUACGACCUCUAGCGUAGCCACCUAGCCUCCCGCUGAACCUCGCCAGUGACGAAUACCGCCGGUCAGUUGCAACCAAUGCUUAUUGCUGUGCUAACACAAUUGAUCAGCGCAUUGACGGUCUGAAAUUGACUGCCCUUCUGCUUGAUUCCGUCGCUUUUCAUAUGUGCGCUUUCUCCGUAGCAGUCUGUCACGCAAAUACCUCGUCAACACCUCCAAAACAGCCUAUAGGAUCCACACGCUCCGACUUUUGAUUGAACGCCAUCAAUCUAAUCGCGAGCCGAAGCCGAUAAGUCGCAUGCCGUCUUCCCAGCCACCGAACGAUCCGAGCGCUACGUCUAGCCGUCUCCCUGUCGAACGUAGCUUAUCGAAAGGCCCGGGCCACCCCGCCCAGAGUGUUCGAAUCCACCGAUCGAGAACGCCGAUCGCCUCCAGCUUCAAUCAACCCGAGCAUGCGGCCGCACGUCUCCCUGUCGAGAGUAGCUCACCGGAAAGUCCGAGCCACCCGCCCGAAGUGUCCGACCCACCGAUUGGAUCGCCAAUCGCUUCCGCCGCCAUCAACCCGAGCACCACGUCUAGUCAUCUCCCUGUUGAAAGCAGCCAUCGACGGUUCCGGCCGCCGCCAGAAGUGUUCGAUCCACCGAUCAAGACUCCAUUGAUCGCCGCCGUGCUCCACCUUGCACCAAUGCCCCUCCCUGGGCAUUACAGCAGGCUAUGCGGUGUGGAGCACCUCCAUUGCGCCUCUACCAUGGACCUUCUGCAGGCUCUGAUACCACUUGUUAUAAAACCAGCCCUGAAAUCAACAUCGGUAGCUAAAACGCGGAAGAAAACGCCAUUGGAGAUCCAAAACAAUGACGACACCGAGACACAAUAUUUGGUAACGGAGUUCAGCCGUAGCCUACAUCUCCGAGGCACUGAUUACGGGCUCUCCUCCCCGAUCCAGCAUAUACAGCGUAUCAGAGUUACAACGACUCAUGGCCGGUCGAUGCCGGCAGCCGCUCCCUCUCGCUAUGCUAAGUCGCUAUGCGGUUACAACAGGCACGCCCCUCUAUUUAUGAGAGAACCUAGGAUAGAGUCCGACUCAUACUCUAGUCCUAAUACCUAUUACAACUCCAAGUCCUAAACUGUAACCGACUACGUACACAUAUUCGACACAAACUCUAACAGUGGCUAUGGUUGGAAAACAAUUAUAUAACAAGAUCAGAUUACCUACGGUUGGAAGAAAAAGAAAUUGAAAGUGUUGGACCGAUAAAAUAAUUUGUUUUUCCAAAAUUGGUCGGUUCAGUGAAAUAAGCGUGUGGAGAGUCAUAUUGUCCAUUCGUUUUAUUCAAAAACUUUUGUAAAAUAUGUAAAACAUAAAAAUAUAUUUAACAAUAAAUCAAAUGAUAGGAAAAUAAUUAAUAAUUACUUAAAUUUUUCGAAUAAGAUGAACGGUCAAACAUGUUAAAAAAAAUCAACGGCGUCAAAUAUUUAGGAACGGAGGGAGUACUUUAUAAGAAAAAUUCCAUAUAUACCUCUAAUUUUUUAUUGAAAAAGACCGUCUCAUGCCCUGCCAUUGUCAUUGCUCACAGCUCCGCCACCUUGUGCCCCGCCAUCGCCGUCGCUCGCUCGCUCGCUCAUGAGCUGUUGCUUGUUUUGCCGCUGCGACUCGCCGUUCCUAGCCUCGCCGCCGACAUAUCCACUCACGAGCUCGCACCCGCCACCGUCGUCGCCAUCGCCUGUUCUCGGCCAGGGUUAGGAUUGGAGCAGCAUAGAGAACAAGCGACGACUACAUAACCUAGUAUAUAUAGUAGUAUUUUUCUUUCAACUACUUGCAAGCGUGAGCUUCUUCAGUUGACCCAAAUUGAACAACAUAUUAUGGAAUUUAUCAGGAUGUACGAUCCUUCAUUAUUUCUACAUCCUCCAUUUCAAAAUGAGUUAACCUAUUGUUCAGAUUUGCAGUACUAGCAUAUUCAAUAUUAGAUUAACUUAUUUUGGUACGAAGAGAGUACAUUAAUUGUUCAUGUUGCUUCCUAACCGAUAAAAGGAGAACAAAGAGAAGAGUAACCAUCGUCAAUGGAGAAAUCCUUUGUCAUAUCUUACAUACCCAUGAAAGGUUCAAUGCAUCACAAGUGUAUUUGUGCAGUGUACGUAGCCUACGCAAAAAUAGGAUUGGGAGUCAAAAGGAAGAAACGAAGCAUAUCGUGAAUUGGUCAGCCAGCCACAUUACCAAUUUUCUCCGGCAGCAUUGAGUUUAACAAACCGAUGAAGCAAUGUAGUGGAGAUGCUCUAGUUGUCCAGACGAGAAAUGGCGGCACUGAAGCUGGUCAGAUCAGGAUGAAGCAGCAAAGGCCUGCCGUUGUUGGCCAAGAAAUUCUGAAACUAUCAAGUACACCUUCAGGAUCAAUAUAUGGUAGCAUCAUCCUUUUGAAGCGUCGUCUAAAAUCCUUACGUACCAAGCCCUGUUAGCUCAGUUUUUCUACUGAACAUGAACACAUUUACUUGUCUAUAGCUAGCUAGUAUUUGUCGAUCCGGAGGUUAGAAACACAAACAAAAAUGAUAUCGUGGUCCGACCAAAAUGGGACGGACAUACCCCACAAUGGCGCCGUGUGGACCCAACUGAAACAUUGGGUAGUUGGCGACAGCUCUUUUGGGCUGAAACUUCUAAGUUUUCAAGUGAUGAGGUAUAUUCUAUUAAGUCUGGGCUAUAUUGCAUACUUAUGGAGCAUAAUGCUGGGAUAUAGCUAGUCUUGUUGAUUUUCAUUUUCUAAUAAUCUAAUAUAGUUGCAUGCUUCGCCAGACUCCAACACAUGCAUAUAUUGAAAGCCAUCUUAAAACUGACAUCACUAAGUACUUGCCAUACUACACUAUAUAUGCACUAAUGUGAAAUAUAUAAGUUACUUAGACUUCUGGUAUCCUACUAUCCUUCAUGUUUACACCCUAGCAGCAAAGAUGAGAAUUUUUUUUAUCUUUUAGACUUUUUUAUUUUCUAAUUUUAUUAAUAGAACUUUCCAAAACGUAUUUCCAAAUCUAAAGCUUUUGGCCGCGCUAGCCCGCCUAGCGUGGCCAAAUAACUUUGUUACGCCACGUGCAGAUGUCGUGGCAGUGUUGUUCUGCCACACCAGCCUCUUGCCUCUCGGCUAGCAUGGCUAAAAGAUUCAGUUUUUGAAAAUAUUUAUUUGGAAAGAUUUAUUAAUAAAAUUAAAAAAAGUCUAAAAAAUAAAAAAAAUCGAAAGAUGACUCAUUUAUUUGAAAUCUAUAACACUUAAUAUACAUGUUGUUGCAUACAUGGGAUUGAGAGGUAUAUAUAGGAAAUAAAACGAAAUUAAGCUUUACGUAUCUGGGUGUCCAAGAACGCUUCGAUGUAUUCUAUUGGACGAAGCAUUAACAUCAUAAGCGGCUACGGUUGGAAGAAAAAAAUUAUAUAACAAUAUCAUAGCUCCUAUGGUUGGAAGAAAAAGAAUUGAAAGUCUACGACCAAUAAAUUAAUUUGUUUUUUUUAAAUUGGUCAGUUCGGUAAAAUAAACUAACCGUGUGGAGAGUCACAUUGUUCGCUUGGAAUGCUACUUUACUGUGUUGUGCUCCCUCAUCAUGAAAAUUGUUUCACGAUGAAAAGCAGUUGUUUCACCAUGAAAGGAAAUUAUAUGAAAAUUGUCAUGGGAUGAAAACCUGAUUGGAACUUGGAAACAGCGAAAUGGCACAAGCAAAGCGCACGUACGCGAUGCGAGGAGACAUACUCUGCCUUUGUCAAUAGGAUGGUUCGCAUGAAUCGGACUACCAGCAAUGACUGAAGCGGAAAAAACGAAAAUACUCACGCUCGGGCGAUCGGCGCAGGGGGAGCCGGAUCGGGCGCUCCCCCGCGCGCCUCUCCCCUCACGUGCGUACCUGUUGGGCCCAACACUUCUCCCUCCCCUUUUUUUAAAAAAGAUGUUUCAUUAUAAUGUUUUACUUUUUAUAGAUCUAAUGUUUUACCAAUGAGAGGGAGGGAGAGAGCGGCGGCAUCUUGGCUACAGCCAACAUUGCCCAAGUACAACGCAUCCUCCGCUGGUGCCGCGCUCGUCGUCGCCACCAUCUCCUCCUCAAUGCUGCGCGGCCUUCGCGCGCCGCUUGCCGUCCACCACCACGCCCCGACCACUGCUCGCCAUGGCCACUGCGUCCCGCCAUGCGGAGGCAAAGAAAGGGCGUGGCAGAGCGGAUCCGGUGCCGACGAGGUGGAUGGCGACAAGCGGCGGGGAAGACAGGGAGAGAUUGGCGGCGGGAGAGAGAGGCGCCGUGUGGAGGGAGAGAGAGAGAGAGGGAGAGAGUGGCGAUGAGAGUGAGGGAGGAGACCGUCGCUGGGAAAAAAAAGAGGAGGGUGUCGUAGAGAGGGAGAAGAGAGGGGUAGUACAGAAAAAUACCCACUGUGGGCUUUUUGGGUUGGGACACCCAUUGUGGGUUUGUGUAUCUUCACCGAGUUGCUUCAAAUUUUGAAAACCCCACCUAGGCGUAGCCUCCAUUGAGAGAUGUGUGCCCCUGGGAGUGCCCUCAGUUAGUGAGGGCACUCUAGUAUGGUUUUGAUUGUAGAUGCCCUUAGCAUAUCAUGGUCACUACCAAGCAGAAGUUCAGCACUACCUUGCGUGGUGUGAAGUGCGCCAAUUUCAAACCAAAUGUGAGUAGACUUUGAAAUUAGAGGUGAUGGUAAAUCUAUUUGACCAUUCCCAGCUUCAAAAUCGUAGCAAUUGUGUAUUAGUUUCCACAUAAGAUGAAAUAUAAACAUUGGAUCUAGCGAUUGGUCGAUUGUGAGGUCAGCACGUAGUAUGAGGAGAGACAAGAGGAAGCCGGCCAGCGGUUACACUUGUUGUUUAGUAAUGAAAACGACUCCACCAAACCCAACAUCCGGUGGCUUGCAAAAAGGCCCAGCCCAGUUAUAUGGGUGAUACAAUGACAUGUCCUUUGAAAUCUAAUUUGGGCCCAACCAAGAUGGGCCGCAUGGAAAUCCUACAUGUGCGUAGAUGCAUUGCAUAUUUCUAUACGCCCCAUCUUGUAUGGGUCAUAACUGAGCCACUCCUAGGCUCACCCAACUGGAAUUUUUUGGGCUUAAAUUGUUGA